CCCUGCUUAUCUCAACGGAAAAUUCCAGCAGGGAUUUCUGAACACCAGUUAAAUUCCUCAGCUCAGCAAUCAGGCCGGCGCUUGGCUGCCUGACAGGCUGGGCAGAGCAGGCGAAGCAAAGUACGGCCCCGAGGCGUCCAGGACCCACAGGCCAGCACAGGGGACUGUGCAGGGAGAGGCGACCACCUCAGCUUCGGACCAGGCCUCACAGUCCCGUGGGAGCAGGCAGAGGAGAUCGGCUCACCUGACCAGGAGGGCCCACGCCCAACCUGGGGCUUGAACUCACAACCCUGGUCCUGAGAGUCACAAGCUCUGCUGACAGAACCAGCCAGGUGCCCCUGUUAUUAACUCCAACAUCUGGUUUGCUCUGAAGGUUUCUUGUCCUAAGUAGAAGGAGCCUUGGGUAGAUGGUUAUCCUCCCCAGAACAUGGCGGGAUCCAGAAUAC